GAUGAACGCUGACAGAAUGCUUAACACAUGCAAGUCAACUUGAAUUUGGGUUCUUAACUUAGGUUUGGGUGGCGGACGGGUGAGUAACGCGUAAAGAACUUGCCUCACAGCUAGGGACAACAUUUGGAAACGAAUGCUAAUACCUAAUAUUAUGAUAAUAGGGCAUCCUAUAAUUAUGAAAGCUAUAAGCGCUGUGAGAGAGCUUUGCGUCCCAUUAGCUAGUUGGAGAGGUAACGGCUCACCAAGGCGAUGAUGGGUAGCCAGCCUGAGAGGGUGAUCGGCCACAAGGGGACUGAGACACGGCCCUUACUCCUACGGGAGGCAGCAGUGGGGAAUAUUGGACAAUGGACCGAGAGUCUGAUCCAGCAAUUCUGUGUGCACGAUGAAGUUUUUCGGAAUGUAAAGUGCUUUCAGUUGGGAAGAAACAAAUGACGGUACCAACAGAAGAAGUGACGGCUAAAUACGUG
rnacentral:rRNA from 1 species